UCACACGCUGAAAUCACGCUAGUCAUGGUCAUCAAAUCCGGUUGAAAACAACACUCCCUCAUUGAAAGGAACAAACUCAACCCUUCCGAGCACUCCCCAUUCUCAAAAUAGCCCGAGAUCAUUGCAUUCCAUGAAAUCCUAUCCCUCCUGCACAUCCCAUCAAACACCAUCCUCGCACUCCCCGCAUCACCACACUUCACGUACAUAGUGAUCAAAGCAUUUACAACAUCCACAUCCGCCUCAAAUCCAAACCUUAUCAAAUGACCAUGGAUUUCUCUACCCCGUUUCCAAUCCCCCAAACCGCCACAUGUCCUCAACACACAUGGGAAAGUAUACACAUCGGGCUUAAGCCCAACACCACCAACCCAUAACAUUUUCCCAUACAUCUCCAGAGCCUCAUCAAAAUACCCCCUUUUCCCGUACCCCCCGAUCAAAACAUUCCAAGAAAAUAAAUCCCUUUCCUCCAUUUUUCCAAACACGUACCAAGCAUCAUUCAAACUCCCCAGCCUCACAAACAUGCUCAAGAGCGCAUUUCCUAGCCUUAAACUCAAUUGGGUCAUCAACUUCAAUAUGCACGAGUAAAUUAAUGACCCUUCAUUCAAUGCCCUCUUGGAUUCGCAUAGCCUUACUAUAGAAAUAAAGGUUUCUUCCUCUAUAUUAUUCUGAGAGUCAUUUUGCACUGAAGUUACGAAGUUUAUUGCUUCGUGUAGUUGAUUCUGGAGGCAGAGUUGAGUUAAAUAUGAGUUGGGGUCAGUGGUGGAAGAGGAUGUAGAGUUCAAGAGGGAUUUUUUAUGAGUCUUUUUAAGCGAAAAUUGGCGAAUUCUUUGGAAAUUAUGAGGGAAAUUUUGGAUUUUGAGAUUGUGAGAUUUGGUGAAAUGCAAAUUUGGGUGGCGCGGCUGAAGAGAAAUUGCUGGGGUUUUAGAAGAGACUGUCAUUUUGAAGCAUGGCAGCACUGUGGAGGGGGGUUUUAGCAGAGGUUCUAAUUUUUACCAUGUCUGCAAAAAG
rnacentral:lncRNA from 1 species